rnacentral:rRNA from 1 species
AACCAUAAAUAAAUCAAAACUUUCAACAACGGAUCUCUUGGUUCUGGCAUCGAUGAAGAACGCAGCAAAAUGCGAUAAGUAAUGUGAAUUGCAGAAUUCAGUGAAUCAUCGAAUCUUUGAACGCACAUUGCGCCCGCCAGUAUUCUGGCGGGCAUGCCUGUUCGAGCGUCAUUUCAACCCUCAAGCCCAGCUUGGUGUUGGGACUCGCGAGUCAAAUCGCGUUCCCCAAAUUGAUUGGCGGUCACGUCGAGCUUCCAUAGCGUAGUAGUAAAACCCUCGUUACUGGUAAUCGUCGCGGCCACGCCGUUAAACCCCAACUUCUGAAUGUUGACCUCGGAUCAGGUAGGAAUACCCGCUGAACUUAAGCAUAUC